rfam:Triticum aestivum genome assembly, contig: Triticum_aestivum_CS42_TGACv1_scaffold_225293_3B
UAAAUACUCCCUCCGUCCGAAAAUACUUGUUAUCAAAAUGGAUAAAAGGAGAUGUAUCUAAAACUAAAAAACGCCUAGAUACAUUUCCUUUUAUCCAUUUUGAUGACAAGUAUUUUUGGACGGAGGGAGUAUUUG